GGCCGCGGGAAUUCGAUUAGGGUUUGAUCCUGGCUCAGAUUGAACGCUGGCGGCAGGCCUAACACAUGCAAGUCGAACGGAAACAUGUCUAGCUUGCUAGAUGAUGUCGAGUGGCGGACGGGUGAGUAAUGCUUGGGAACUUGCCUUUGCGAGGGGGAUAACAGUUGGAAACGACUGCUAAUACCGCAUAAUGUCUACGGACCAAACGGGGCUUCGGCUCCUGCGCAAAGAGAGGCCCAAGUGAGAUUAGCUAGUUGGUGAGGUAAAGGCUCACCAAGGCAACGAUCUCUAGCUGUUCUGAGAGGAAGAUCAGCCACACUGGGACUGAGACACGGCCCAGACUCCUACGGGAGGCAGCAGUGGGGAAUAUUGCACAAUGGGGGAAACCCUGAUGCAGCCAUGCCGCGUGUGUGAAGAAGGCCUUCGGGUUGUAAAGCACUUUCAGUUGUGAGGAAAAGUUAGUAGUUAAUACCUGCUAGCCGUGACGUUCACAACAGAAGAAGCACCGGCUAACUCCGUGCCAGCAGCCGCGGUAAUACGGAGGGUGCGAGCGUUAAUCGGAAUUACUGGGCGUAAAGCGCACGCAGGCGGUUUGUUAAGCUAGAUGUGAAAGCCCCGGGCUCAACCUGGGACGGUCAUUUAGAACUGGCAGACUAGAGUCUUGGAGAGGGGAGUGGAAUUCCAGGUGUAGCGGUGAAAUGCGUAGAUAUCUGGAGGAACAUCAGUGGCGAAGGCGACUCCCUGGCCAAAGACUGACGCUCAUGUGCGAAAGUGUGGGUAGCGAACAGGAUUAGAUACCCUGGUAGUCCACACCGUAAACGCUGUCUACCAGCUGUUUGUGACUUUAAGUCGUGAGUAGCGAAGCUAACGCGAUAAGUAAACCGCCUGGGGAGUACGGCCGCAAGGUUAAACUCAAAUGAAUUGACGGGUGCCCGCCCAAGCGGUGGAACAGGUGGUUUAAUUCUAUGCACCCCGAAAAACCUUACCAACCCUUGACCUGUUGAAAAUUACUAAAAAAAAUUUCGUGCCUCCGGGACUCAAACCCAGG
rnacentral:rRNA from 1 species